GUCAGGACAGGCCCCCUUUCCUGUGUGAUGAGUGCUGCUUGAUUUGAAUUGAAAGCCAUAUGUGUGGAGUGCUCAAGUCUAUUGCUGGGCCAAGCACCUUUCAAGACUAAAGAGACGAAGGCUGCUUCAAGUGUGCCCGGGCUUUGGGGAAUGCGAAGAAAGGCACUGCAACCUGCGACACAGUUGAGAAGUGGAUUCAUCAGUCAUGGAACUUGAUGGAGAACAAAGAACAAAAAUGCAACAAAAAGCUGUGAACAAGAGAAUAUCCUUUCGCAUAGGUGCAGUGAAUGUUUAGUCACUAUCACUGAGCCGCAUUUUUUAUAAGGCAAGGGAAGGAACUGCACCCUUCUGCCACCAGUGGCCGCUGCUGUUCUUAUGAUUGUUUUUUUUUUGUGACGUUUUGAUUUUUUCUUUAAUAAAUGCUUGGAAUGCUGUAUUGUUAA